rnacentral:rRNA from 1 species
ACGGGUGAGUAAUACAUCGGAACGUAUCCUGGAGUGGGGGAUAGCCCGGCGAAAGCCGGAUUAAUACCGCAUACGCUCUGAGGAGGAAAGCGGGGGACCUUCGGGCCUCGCGCUCAAGGGGCGGCCGAUGGCGGAUUAGGUAGUUGGUGGGGUAAAGGCCUACCAAGCCGACGAUCCGUAGCUGGUCUGAGAGGACGACCAGCCACACUGGGACUGAGACACGGCCCAGACUCCUACGGGAGGCAGCAGUGGGGAAUUUUGGACAAUGGGGGCAACCCUGAUCCAGCAAUGCCGCGUGUGUGAAGAAGGCCUUCGGGUUGUAAAGCACUUUUGUCCGGAAAGAAAUCAUCGGGGCCAAUACCCCUGGUGGAUGACGGUACCGGAAGAAUAAGCACCGGCUAACUACGUGCCAGCAGCCGCGGUAAUACGUAGGGUGCGAGCGUUAAUCGGAAUUACUGGGCGUAAAGCGUGCGCAGGCGGUGCUGUAAGACCGAUGUGAAGUCCCCGGGCUUAACCUGGGAACUGCAUUGGUGACUGCAGCGCUGGAGUAUGGCAGAGGGGGGUGGAAUUCCACGU